AGAGUUUGAUCCUGGCUCAGAGCGAACGCUGGCGGCAGGCUUAACACAUGCAAGUCGAGCGGGCGUAGCAAUACGUCAGCGGCAGACGGGUGAGUAACGCGUGGGAACAUACCUUUUGGUUCGGAACAACACAGGGAAACUUGUGCUAAUACCGGAUAAGCCCUUACGGGGAAAGAUUUAUCGCCGAAAGAUUGGCCCGCGUCUGAUUAGCUAGUUGGUGAGGUAACGGCUCACCAAGGCGACGAUCAGUAGCUGGUCUGAGAGGAUGAUCAGCCACAUUGGGACUGAGACACGGCCCAAACUCCUACGGGAGGCAGCAGUGGGGAAUAUUGGACAAUGGGCGCAAGCCUGAUCCAGCCAUGCCGCGUGAGUGAUGAAGGCCCUAGGGUUGUAAAGCUCUUUUGCGCGGGAAGAUAAUGACGGUACCGCAAGAAUAAGCCCCGGCUAACUUCGUGCCAGCAGCCGCGGUAAUACGAAGGGGGCUAGCGUUGCUCGGAAUCACUGGGCGUAAAGGGUGCGUAGGCGGGUCUUUAAGUCAGGGGUGAAAUCCUGGAGCUCAACUCCAGAACUGCCUUUGAUACUGAAGAUCUUGAGUUCGGGAGAGGUGAGUGGAACUCGAGUGUAGAGGCGAAAUUCGUAGAUAUUCGCAAGAACACCAGUGGCGAAGGCGGCUCACUGGCCCGAUACUGACGCUGAGGCACGAAAGCGUGGGGAGCAAACAGGAUUAGAUACCCUAGUAGUCC
rnacentral:rRNA from 1 species